rnacentral:lncRNA from 1 species
UGCAGGGAGAUCUGGUCGCUUAGGGUGGUAGUCGUUUAUUUCUGAUACAAAGAGCUGCUACUACUGGCUAUGCGACUAGGUGGUGGCAAGGGAGUGGAGCGGAUGGAUGCUGCAAUUGGUUUUAUGGUGCUUGUGGAUGGUGGAAAAAGAGUUGUUGUUCGGUGAUGGUGUCACAAUAUGGUGGUGUGCAACGGUGACGGGGUAAGGGAGAAAGGUGCGGCAAUUUGGCUGUCAUGGGUGGUGUAGCAGGCUGCUGAUGAAGGUGACAAUUGAUCGUGGAGGGAAAGGCGAGGGCGUGGGAUGGGGAAGGCUAGGCGGUGACGCUUGAAGGUGGAGAGAAUGAGACAGGAUCGACGGUAAGUUGGAAUGGAAAAGUCAAGGCCGCGACGGUUGGGAAG